rnacentral:lncRNA from 1 species
ACCCGGGGGCCGUAGUGUUUACUAGUGGCUUCUCUCCCGAAAGCAAGUAGACGGUGGGUGAACAAAUUACCGUCGAACAAUUGAUAGAACCGCGCAAAGUCGUGAGGAUAUCUAUGCAAUGAUUAUAUCUAUAGGCAUCACGUGCAAAACAAGUAGACCGAUACUUUCUGCAUCUACUACUAUUACUCCACACGUCGACCGCUAUCCAGCAUGCAUCUAGUGUAUUAAGUCCAUAAGAACAGAGUAAUGCCUUAAGCAAGAUGACAUGAUGUAGAGGGAUAAUCUCAAACUAAUGAUAAAACCUCAUCUUUUUACCCUUGAUGGCAAUUACUUGAUGUGUGCCUUGCUGCCCCUACUGUCACUGGAAAAGGUCACCACAUGGUAGAACCCAAAACCAAGCAUUUCUCCCAUUGCAAGAAUCAUAGAUCUAGUUGGCCAAACAAAAUCCAAGACUCGGAGAGACUUACAAGGAUAUCAAAUCAUGCAUAUAAGAAAUCAGCAAAUACUCAAAUAUAUAUCAUAGAUAAUCUGAUCACAAAUCCAUAAU